UUUAGAAGUCAGACAUCGCAUUAUGAUGAAACAUAUAGACAUGUGCCACGAGUCCUGUUCACCUAUAGGGGUGAUUACAUUGAAUUCCAAAUCACAGUCAGCACAAUGAACAUCCAGAAGACUGUUGUACUAGAUCUUUGACUUACUGGGAUAGAGAAGAGCUCCGCUAUAUUCUUCAGAAGAGCAGCCUGGCGGGACAGGAAGUUAGUCCGAUGGAUCAAGUUUGAGCCAGCACUACUACUGAACUCCUUCCUCACCAAAGACGCUAUGGAGUCAACAAUUAUUAGCCUUAUCUUAGGGCCGAAAUUUAGCCCCAUUCACAAUGCUGAAAAGCAGGUGUUUUUCCCAAAAUGAUGCCUAAAAAUUCCCAAAUAAUGGAUGCUUUGAUGAGAAUAUGUCAUGAUGGACCAUCCAACCUCAGUGCCACUCUGGUGCAAAAAAAUUUGUGACAGUUUUUUCUCUGCCAAAGACUAGAAAUUAAAGCUUGUUUAAGCCAGGCACAUUGAUAAUAAAAUAUCAAAUUGGUUAACUUUUUGCUUGUUUUUCUUACUCAUUUGUAUGAAACAAAUUUACCAAUUUUAAUCAAAUAUUGCCAUUUUCCCCAUACUUGAAGGCCCUGGCCCUGAAUUCAAGGGGUAAAAAAAUCCCUGUAAACAUUCAAUAUAAAUCUUGAUAUUCGUAUGUGAAAAUUUUGAUUUAUAUGCAAUAAAUCUUGUUAUCUAUAUUCGAUAAAUUUUGCUUAAUAUUCAAUAAUCUUGUUUAUUUUAUUGAUCAAGAUUAUUGAAUACAAAUAAAAAUUUAUGGAAUAUUUAUUACAAGAUUAUCGAUAACCAUUUUUUUCUAAAUAAGAGACCAUGAUUUCCUUAAAUAUACCCCCCUACAUCCGCCACUGGAUAUACAUGUAUAAUUUCGAUUAUGAAUGUAAGAAAGAUAAAAAAUCAAAAUGAUGUUCUGUAUUACUUGAACAUGUGGCCAGAAUCAUCAUAAAACGUUUCAAAGUAAUAAGAAAAUGCAUGGGACGUUUCGCACCGCAAAUAGGGGCGAACCGUCUGAGUGCGAAUCGUUUCAACAGGUGGGAACACUUCCCCUGUAGCGAGAUCUUCUUGCUAAAAUGCGAUUAUCUCUCUUUAGCGAAAAAUAAACAUUACCAUAAACAGGUGUUUUCGGUGUCUUUAUUGAAAAUAUGACAAAUUCUGUGCAAUGCUGAAUAAGUAUGACACACACUCAGCAUGACACGAAUCGUUUCUAUAAAAUUCACAACACAGUCAAGAAAUUUCAUGUCAAUGUUGCUGCGUGAGAGGGAAAAAAGGCUGAAACCCAAUGCACCUCCUGAGUGUUUUUUGUUUUGAUCAAUAUAUUUGCAGUCAUUUUAGCACUUUUUUUUUCUUUUCACGUGAAACACGAAAAGAUGUACUCCGCGGGUGUUUUUCUCAGUUGUACGGGAUAUAUUUACUCUCGAUUGAAUAUCUCGCUAUAUAUAGGCCUAGUGGAAGUGUUCGCAACCUGUUCAAAGCGAAACGUCUUUCGUCGGAGUCAGUUUCGGGGCGAAUUCCCGUUACCUCAUAUUAGUAUACAGAGGUCAUAGAAACAAGUGCUAUUAGUAUACAGAGGUCAUAUUUUAUUUACGGAACAAAUGCCUAUGGUUAUGCACCCUAUGGUACUACCUUGCAGG